rnacentral:lncRNA from 1 species
AAAAUCUCAACUUGAUUUCAAACCCUAGAAAUGAUAUUUGUACUUGCAAAACCAAUAAUAUUUCUUGAAAGUAGUAAUGGAAUAUAAACAAAACCAAUAGAAAUACAUUUGGUAUUUAUAGAUAAAAAAGAAAGCUAUCCUAAUGAAAAUAGGAGUACAAAAGUCAGUGAUGAAGAUGCCUCUAACAAUAAAUCAUUAAGUCUGGGGACAACUUAUCAUCAUUCUCCUUCCAGGUGUUGCCUAAUUUUUUAGUUCAUUGAUGAUGACUCAUUUAGUCACCUUACGAGUCAUUGAGUGACUCAUCUCUACUUGGACCAUUAUUAACUCUUUUAGGACUUUUCAUGCCUUGCUCAUGAUGACUGAUCACAAUGAUUUAUUAUGGGACCUAAUAGGUCAUGGCCUCUCUUUGUUCUCUACUUAUCCUUCAACUUUCCAUGGCUUUUAAAAUAAACUAGAGUCAUAACAUCUUUAUGCUAUGGCUCAUUACAUGUGACAACGAGUUAUAUUCAGCAUAUGUAGUCAACUCCUCCAAGCCUAACAUUAGUCUGGUCAGGUUAUGACUGGGAUAUGAGUCGUACUGUGACCAAAUGGCUUGUAGCCUAGUGUCCUUUAUCCAUACUUGUGAAAUUUAGUCUUUAAUUUAUUCCUUCACCUCUGACCCUAUUUUCCUGCAAAACAACACAAACCACAUCCUAUCUACAUAACCAAGCCUUUAGAUUAGCAUAGUUUUAUUAUUUUAAGCAUUUAAAAUGUCGUGAAAUCAGGGCACAUCAAGCAUGCAAACAAAACAAAAUAUACUAUACCAGAUGCUUAACCAAGAGAGAUCUAAGAAUACUACAAAAAUCCAAAAAAAAUCAUUGUUUAGCAUGCAUGAGACAAAACAUAGUUCAAAAACCUUGCAAUGACAUUUAAAUCAACAAGUGAAGUGCAUCACUUUUAAACAAUAUAAAAUAAUGAGAUCAAUUCAUGGAUAUUACAUUAGCAGGAGACCACCUAACACGUUAGACACAUACCACUACCUAAUAAAGCAACAACUAAAAGAUAGACCUUAUUACCUCACAACAAAGAAGUCCCACACUUGCUAUAUGUAAUGUAAAGCAAUAACAAGGACAAAAUCAAAUCUCUUAAUCUCACAAGAUAGUCUGGCAAUGUGUGUUUUGUAUCAUUGGAUUGCCCUUAGUUUCUAUACCUUAACUUUCAAAAAUUCAAAUCUGGUUUACUGUAUGACUUUAUUAGCUUAUAAUAUAGGCUCAAAGGUAGUUACGAUAUACAUAUGGGUAUAGUGAUUGUCCCUUUUUACUACUAUGCUAACUUUUGGCUUUCACUUUUAUGUAUGUCCUUCUAUUUCAUUAACUUUUUCAACAUUAUUUUACUUUUUUAGACUCCGAAUGUGGGUUUACUUUCUUCUUUUUUUUCUUGUCAUUUUAUUUUUUAUUUUCCCUUUCUGAUAUCUCGCUUUUUUUCUUAUAGACAUCAUACUCAAAUAUUUUUUUCUUUAUAUUGCACUUUUAUUAUACCCAAUCCUAUACGCACCUCUAUGCUAGCCGCCCUCAACAUAGGCAAUUUUCCUGAGUUAAGGUAUACAGUGUCCAAGAAGGGACUGGGGCCAAAGUAGGUUCAUUGUAAAAUUAGGAAGGUGAACAGGGUAAUCCAAAGAUAAGGGCAAAUUAGGCUCAACUUUUGGAUUCAAGGGAUUAACAUAUUCAUUUGGCAUGCUAUUUCAGUUAUAGUGGACUAUUUUAAGAAAGACAUAUGAUACUUUCCUAACCUUCUAUCCUACAACUAUUAAUGAGACUAACAGGUAAGUUCUAGACCACACAUACAUGCUGACUUGGUACAUCCUCACAUACCCUUGGCUCAUGGUUGUUAUUAUGGUUACUAUCUAUUUAAUUCUUGCACAGUCUGACUAGGUUAUCAUGCAACUAAUACUAAUGCUAUGAAGAGUUCCUAACAGUGUUUACAGUGAAGGUAAGCACACCACAUAACACAAAAAUUAAAUAUUGGAGGGGAGUCAUUUUAAAAGGUUUCAAAAAUAGGUUUGAAUGCUUCUUUUAUUCUGACUACAUUAGGUCAUCUAAGUUUACUAUUAGUUACGCACAAAACACCAAACAUAUAAAAAUCUAAUAGAAAUACCUAAACAUGGAAGUAUUAACUAUGAUAGCGCAACCAAGAACAAAAAUAUGAUAACAAAAAACCUCAACUAUGGCAUACCGCACCCCACCCUAAAAUUAGAAGUUAUACAAUUUCUGCAUUGCAUAAAAUUUUAGGAAAAUAUAUAAGAAGGGUAAAGGAUAUAUCUGUGGUGCAUAAGGCAUCAUAUCAUGAUUUUUCCUCUGCUAGGGCCUCAUAAUGAACCCUAGUCCUAUCAGUAAUGGCCUCGAUGGGGGCUAUAGCUUUCAUAUCAGUAUUGGCAGAAUUAGAGUCGGUGCACUCAAUGGUGUAAAAUGCAUAGGGGGAGUACAAUACCUACUCUCAUCAACUCUUGAAGCAUUGCAAAUCAUAGACUCAACAAAUCUAAAGAUCUCAACUCUCCCCCCUUUCUCAUAGACCUCAGAUAACUGGUUUUGCAUAGACUUCUUGCUUGCUACAAUGUCCUCUUUCAUUUAUUCUUUUUCCGACUCAUACUUCUCUUAAUCUCUCUCUUCACCACCUUUUGUUGUUUUCUUAUCUUUUGUCCCCCAUAUAUCGAUACCUUAUCCACUUAAAUAUCCUUAAAAUAGACAUGGUAGGAUUUAAAAAGAUGGAUAUAGCCUCACGACCAUGACCUCUAUAGCGGAUCAUAGUGCAUCUAACUCCUCAUGAAUGCCCUUCAAAUCUACAGAUUGCAUGUCUUCCUAAUUUUUUUGAAUUCUUCUCUAAAAAUUAUCAAAUAGGGUCUGAACUCUGCAUAUCUCAACCUAAAUUUCCUUUUUCACCCUUGGUUGCAUCCCCUCUUUAAUGUUAGCUACUUUUCACCUAGGGUGAGAAAUAUUGUCAUCACAUAAUUUAAAAAAUCAUAAAAAACCAAGAUGUAUCUAUAGAUGGGUGGAAGUGUCAUAAAUGGUGUCAAAGUUGAUGGUAUCGGGGCUUUAAAUGGUCUAGAAGUUGUGGAAGUUGUGGCAUUAGUAGUAGAUAUCAAAUCAAUUUGUCUCAGUCUUAGCCUGAUACUUAACCUGUAUGUCCCCAAAGUUCAGUAAAGCCUAGGGUAUCAAUAUCCAAUAGUGCACUCAACAAUAAUGCAUUCUAAAGUAGUGCAACACCAACUUAUGCCCUCAAAAUUAGGUUUUAAUGAUCCCAAAUCAACCAGAAAUUAAUGGUCUGGUAGACCCUAAAAAAAUAAAAAUAUCAGGUUGCACAGGCACCCUAUCCUCCAAAAUUCUUCAUUACCAAGCAUGGGAAAGCUAGGCUCAUAUCAAUACUUACAACUCUAUCUCAAAUCUCUUAUGUGAUGAUCUUUGUAAUGUCAAUUUCAUAUUUCUCCAUAAUAGUGGCUAUCAGGGCAUCCCUGUCAGGGUUCAAAGAGUUGUCACCUACUGCAGGUCCCAACUGGUAUCAAAUCAGUGCCCACUAUGACUUAGCUCAGAAAUUAAGACUUUUUUUAUAAUCUAUAAUGGCAUACCUUCAACCCAAGGAGCAUUCUCAUGUGCUAUAGCAAUAAUACCAGCUCUCCAUCUUAAGUGUACCAACUUAUCCUUACUACCUAUCUACUUAAUUUUGAUCUUUUGCAUAUUGUCAAUCCGGUGAUUAAUCUCUGAUAUGUCAUCCAAAGGCAUAAAUUUAACCCCACGUAAAAAAGGGAAAUAGUCUAUGUAGAGCUAUUAACUAGAACUCCAUGAAUCAUCAAUGAAUAAAUAGGGCCAUUAUCCUUCCUAGCCAACGCUUACUGAUGCAUCUGCUUUAACUCUAUAAGAUAUAUAGUAUAAAGAUCGUGAACUAGAGUUGGGCUAUAUCUACCAGAUUCUCCUGUCAUCUAUUCAAAAUGAUAUUUCUUGAAUAGAGGUUCAAAGUCUAGCAUAUCACACAUUCCUAUAGAAAAUUACCUAGGAUCCAUAUAAAACCCUCACUUUGGUUGACCUGUAUUACAGAUGAUAGCACUAUCAUGCUUAUAUAAUUUCUACUUGGCUGGGUACCACCACCAAUUAACUAUCAAUACUAGAUUUUCCUUAAUAUAUAACCUAGGCUAGGUUGGUGGUGAAGGUGAAGUGGAACUUCCAAAGGAGAACUGUUAGUAGCACCCCUAUCCUCACUCUCAAGCAACCCUUUUAAGCUAGAUCUUGAUCCUAGUUCACUAGACUAACUGCAAGAAGUAUCCUUAUAUCCUCUCUUAAAGAUACUCUCUUUUCCUUCCUCCUCAGAAACAAACCCAGAACCAAGCCCUCAAUCCUUAUUAUAUUGAGGAAGAGAAAGUAAAUAUGGUGUAGAGGCUCGGGCACUCUUUAUUUAGAGCCUUGAUUGAUUUCCUCAAGGCCACCUAAUCUGUGGAUGAACUGGACCUAAGAUAGCAUUUCUUUCACUGAUCCACUAGACACCACUUCCUCAUAUGGUUCAUCUUUUAGUUAGUGAGUGCACCGGGCCUAUUUCUUUAGAUUCAACUUGCCUUUUUAUUUAUGCCCUUGGUGUUGUCAUUCAUGGGUGACAUUUUACUCAUGGGGGAUCAUACAUUAGUAAAAAUAAUUCUACAUAGACAUUAAAAUGAGUAAUAAAUCAUUAUUCAAGUUACCCUAUUCCCAGUAACUACGAGUUAAUUAAUGAUUUAUUGUUUUUAAAGAUGAGUCGUUGUCAGACUUGUAGUGUAGUGGGGUGAUGGGUUAACUUUACUUCUUCAUAAUGUCUGUGCCCUAUGAUUUGUUAGGUCACACAAUGACUUGUUCGGUGAUUUGUCAAAUAUAAUCCUUCAAAGUUCACUACAGGUCCUUAGGACGGUUCACCUGACGAUUCAUCUAGCAGCCCUACUAAUCAUUGAGUGACUCAUAGGGAGAACAAUUUUAAUUGAUAGGGACUUAACCAUGUUCUUGAACUAGGUGCAUUCACUAUGACUCAUAUGACCACUCAUAUCAUAUGGAAACAAGUUCUUUGAAGAAUCAUAGGGACUAUAAAUAGGUAGUCGCUAUCUUAUUUAUCAAUUCAAACUCUUCUUGCACUUUUGUUUGAGCACAUAAUAAUGUUAUUACUAUACAAAGAAGCAUUAGGGUAGAUAUAUAGACACUCCUCCCAGGAUGUGUAUGAAAAUCAAUACUGAGGAUAGUUAGACUUUAUCCCAGACAACCAAUAAUUUAAAAUUUAAACUACCUAAUAACCCCUCAUCCACAAUACAAGUGAACUUAUCACCCCUAAUUUCUCAAGAUUUUUAAUUUAUGGUUUUUAAAACAUACGGGAUUCACCACUAUGAUUUCACUAAAAGUAGAUAAUUUCUCAAGUUGUUUCCUUACAUGAUUUAGAGAGACUAUGGGAUGAAAGUGUACCUAAGAUACUGGGCAUAAAUGAGAGGGUACAUGCUAUGUCUACUGCACAAACAAAAAGUAUGAAGGUUCUGGAACAACAACACCUUCCUAAGAGAUCUAUAAAGCUAAUUGUAGUACCUAGGUCCCAGACUGAGGGCCCAAUAGUUUCCACAGAGCCUGAUAAUGCACAUGGAGGUGAUAUGGGUAUUGGUAUUGACAUCGAGAUAGGGGAGAAAGAAGAGGAUCCAGAUUAUAGUAUGUUAGGCGUAGGGACACCAUCUACUUCUUCAUUAGCUGUAGCUUCAACCUCAAAGUCAUUUGGUGUAUCUUUAGAGCCUACUCGCCCAUCUACUAAAACUCCAACUAUAGGUAUGAUUAGUAUAUCUAGAGAGUUCUUGCAGAGCUUAGUGGAUAGUAAGAGGGCCACAAAUGCUCGAUUGAUGUGUGUUGAGACUGAGAUGAAUACCCUCUACGAGCAGAUGAGAUUAGGGGUUAGGACCAGAUUCGAGUAGAGAGAGAUCAGAUGGGAGUCCGUAUAGAGAGCUGGUUUGUCUAAGAUACAUACUAACUUCCAUACAUGUUUGGAUAAGUUUAAGAGAUAAUUUAUAUCCUAAUUCAAAGAGACAGAUACCCUAGAUCUAGCCCAAAUGAGGAAGGAUUUUGAUAUAUCACGAGCAGGGGUAUGCUCUCUCACAGAGAGCCAUAUAGCAUCCACUUCAUUAGUUAUACACCAGUGGUCAAGCUAUCAACUCCACGCAUAUUAAGAUAAUUUGAUUUCCUUGUGGAGGAUGAUAAAGAGGUCCCAACAGUUAGGGCCAAUAGAGGUCACAUUAGAGACUUGCAGGUUCCUGAUAUACCAUAUGACCAGGUCGUUAAAAGGGCCAAACAUAAUUUGAUGGAUACUAUAGUCGUUGAUAGGCAGAGGCAUAUAGAGCUAGCAGUGGAUGCUUCAUCUAGUAUAGAAACACCAUCGCUGCCUCCUCCAGUUGAUAUGCCCCCUUCUGGGGAUGCUCAUUACACGGGUGCCUAGUGUAUCUCAGGUAUGUUCUAAAUUCUCUUUAUUUUGUAUAAUUUUAGUGCAUUGAGGAAACUGCUUAGUUUUUUAGUUAGAGGUGGGAUGUACCAUAGUCACCGCAGGUUUUUGUUUCAUUGCUUAUUUUUCUGUUUGUCGCGGUAUGGUUGUAGAACUGACAUGCCUAGGAUAAUUUAUGUAGUAUUGUGUUUUUUUUUCAUAUUGUGUUUUUCUUUUGCCUAAUUAGGAGAUUUUUAAGUAUUUAGGGUAGUGGUCAUGUUUUUCAUUGAUUUUUGAGAAAAAUGAUACCGCUCUAAAUUUUGUUUUUAAGAGCUGUGUGAAUGUAUAUAUGUGUUAACUUUGUGAAUCUUGUUAUGGCAUCAGGAUCAGGGGCAUGAUAAUCACUUGCUAACAAUUGUAUAAACCGAAUAAGUAGUAGCUUGUAAUAUUGACUCUAUGCUUUGAGUUUGACAUACUACCUAGUUCCCUUUGUGUGUUGAAUUUAGAACUUGCCUGGUCAGUCCUUCCUAGAUUGAAAGAUAGUCGGUUAUGAAAGUAUCAUAAGCCAUUUUUUAAUUUUAGUCCACUUUUAGACUAAAUGACCUUCUAUGUGAGAAUUGUAUCCCUUGAUUCCUAUUUUAAGUCUUGUAACCUAUUUUUCUUUGAUUUCACCUAUUCAUCUUUCUGUUUGUAUUAUAAUGAUCCGAUUUUGUCCCAGGUCCUCCUUCGACAUUGUGCACCUCGACCAGGCAAAAUGCCUAAGUUAAGGAAGGCUAUCAUAGGGGUACGCUGUGUAAAAUGGGUAUGUAGAUGGGUAAAAUAAGAGAAAAAGUUAGUAAGGCUAGGUGAGGUAGCAAAAGAAAAGAAAAGAAAAAUAAAAAUAAAAUAAAAAAUUGUGGAAAAGGUGAAAAAAGAAAGACUAAAGGACCACAUCCAACGUGAAUAUGCAUUAAAAUAAAAAGGGAGAAAUAAAGGUGGAAAUAAAGUGAAAAAUGGGCUAGUAAGUGAGACCCCAAGGUUAGUGUAGUGCCAAGGAGGCUUAGUCACUCAAUAUGUCCAUAGGUAUCGUACCAACCCCCAAGUCUACAUUACAAGAUGAGAAACGCCCUAUAGUGAUCCUAACUUGACUAUCUGAAUGCUAAGGUAAAGAAAAUAAGGGCAAGCCUAUGGUAUUUGAUGCAUAUUGAUUGGAACUUCUCUUCUGAGUGUGAGUGUCUCUUAACUAUUCCUGCAUUGACAUACAUUAUCCCAUCUAUGCUUUCAAUCAUGAAUGUUGUUGAUUACUUCACAAGUAUGAGUGGCUAAAAACCUAUAGCUAGGGUUGUGAAAACCCUGGCAUAUUGAGGAAGUAGAGAAAGUGCUAUUGUUGUUCUGAACUGAUGCCCAUGCAUGUAUUGCUUUAUCUUUAAUGUAAUAGUUCUAUUAAUAGGUGAACAUGUUAGGAUCCUACCUAUAUUAUUGCUACUUACUCCAAAAGAGAAGUAGUGACUAGGAAAAGAUAAAGACAACAGUUAUUUGGAGUUUAGCCAUCGAUCCACACUUUUAGGUUUUAUCUAUGUAAGAUGGUUAGAUUUUAUAUAAUAACUAGAUACUUAAAAGAUAAUAUCUAACUGGUAUCAAGAUAAGGGUUAGUAAAGUGACACCCUGAGACUUAAAAGGUAAAGGGUGAAAUCCUUCUACUUGUUCAAAAGACUGUAGAAGGUAUGUAACUUAUUGAUUCUACAUGCAAGGUAUUGGGUUGGUUAAACAUAGAACAAGAAGACAAUGGAGUUGAAAAUCAAUGGGGAAUACAAUCCUAGUGUUCACUCAUGACUUAUUAAAACCGAAGUUGAUAUUUUCCACUUGACUGAUAUUGUUAUUCAAACCCCCCAUUUAUUUUUCCAGUUCCGCCUGUUCACAAUAACUGAGGGUCGUGAUUCCACGUAGUUCCUUAGGACUCGACACUAACCUUUUUUGGGUUACUAUAUUUGGAAGAAAACAUAUCAUCUUCUGAGAGGAGUUAUAGCUUGGACGUCACCAAAUUUUGGCACCAUUGCCGGGGAAGACGGUGUUUAUUUGUGAUUUAAAGUUGUUACAGUUUUUAGGUUUUCUUUUUGUUUUUGUACUUAGUUGGAUAAACACUGAUCUAUGCAUAUCACACGGAGUAGAGUCAAUCCCUUAAUACUAGUAAAUCUAAAUCCGGAGAGGAUCCUAAAAACACCUAGUAGGAUGGUGGAACAGAAAAAAGAUGAUAAUCUUGAAGGGUUCAUAAUGAUGUAUCUCCCUCUCCUCCCGAAGGAGUACAAGAUAUUGUUGAUUAAUAAACCAGUCAACUCUUAGAUCAAGUUAAUAAUGAUAGAAAGGUAAUAGAAGAAUCUUAGUAGAUAGCUCGAAAGGCAGAGCUAGCUGAGUAGAGACAAAAAGCAGACCUCCGGCAGCACUCGGUGGAAAUCAUAAUAGAACAGAAGGUGCCCGUGUACAAGUGAUCCCAACAUAUUAGUAUGUGCAGCCAUAUAUAAAUGAUGAAGAAGAUCAAGGAUAUGUUGAGCCGUCAAAGGCUGGAUCCAUUAUUCCUUCUAUUUUAGCCCCAAGCAUCAAGUUUGACAUAACGAGCAAUAAUUUAACUCCUAAAUUUGAAGGGUGUGUUUGCGAGUCUUCCUACAGAUGAUGUAAAUUUUCACCUUGCCAAUUUAAUUAGGAUCUGUAGUUUGUAUACAAUCCAGGGGUUAAUAGGAAGCGCUUAGACUGAGUUUGUUCCUCUUCUCACUUGCAGGAGAAGUAUCUUAAUGGUUAGGGAAACUUCCAAGAGGCUCUAACAUUACAUAGAACGAGUUGUGCAGGCAAUUUUUGAACAGGUUCUUUCCUCCAUCCAAGAUAUUGAAGCAUAAGGACAAGAUCUAUAAUUUUAGGCAACUGCAGUCAGAAUCUAUGUAUGACGCAUAGUUUAGUUUUAAGAAGAAGCUGAGUAUGGUGCCCAAUCAUCAGUUAUCAAGGAUGAUCUUAUUAGAGUUAUCUUUUUGAGCCUUAACCAUUAGCUCUAGAGCCAUAGCAGACACCAUAUUUAGAGGAUAUUUAAUAAGACUACGCUGGGAGGCAUCUUUAGAGAUGUUAGAUCAGAUCUUACUCUCUAACCGAGGGUGGCAAACUUAGGAGGCUGAGAGGGGAUUUGGCACACAUGUUAUUGGUGCCUUCUGCGACCAGAAAGUAGCUGAUGAGUUAGUAGCAUAAGAAAUUGUAAUGCAGCAAAUUGAUUUAGGGGUACUAGCAAAGCAACUUAGAGCUUCAACUUUUGACUAAGUAAAUACAAUAGCAGCACAGAGGUAAGCUUCCAAAGCUUAUAAGUUAGAAUCGAAAGAGAAAAUGAAUUAUCUGAAUCGUUCGUUGUCGGGUUUCCAAGCUAAGAUACAAGGGAAUGAAGGUUGAAACUACUAUGACAGAUACAGAGACCAUAGUAGAGAGUGAGAUGGUGACUGAAGAAAGAAGGAUGACUAUAUAGAGAAGGGAGAUAGGUAUAUUCCGCCUUGAAGUUGAGAUACAUAAUUUAGAAUGAAAGAGAUGUUGACUAAUCUUGUGAAUGGUCAAGAAAAUCAGAAGAUCAACCUUAACCCUUAAGGAUAUUAAGGCUGACAUUUCAGGGUUGACCUAGAAGGUCAAGUCAUAUGACACUGCUAUCAAGUAGUUGGAGCACUAGUACGAGCAGAUGUCAGCAAGUCUGAGCUAGAGGCAGCCAGGUACCUUUUCGAGCAACACUGUGCAGAACUUGAAAAAUGACGAUCAUGAUCUUGCCAUUACUAUGAGGAGUGGUAUUACUUCUAUAGAUCUCCCACUACCUGCUGUGAAAGCUGAUGAUGAAGAUACAUAUUUAUGGAGCUAGAAAAGGCAAUAGGUGGUGAUUAUGUAGUUGUUAAGAAAAGAGAUAAGGGUCCAAUUAUUGAGCAGGAAAUAAGAAAAAAUCUGAGAACACCCCCACUUUUUCCUCAGAGAUUGAAAUAGAAGAAAGAGAAAGGUAAGUUUAAGUGAUUUAUUGAGAUGCUAAAAGAAUUGAGCCUGGACAUACCUCUUCUUGAGGCAUUGGAGUAAAUGCCUGGAUACUCUAGGUUUAUGGAAUAAUUUACCACAAAGAAGAAAGUAGCAAUAAUUGAGGAUGUUGAUGUUGUGCACCACUACAGUGCAGUCACUACGAGGUCUUUAGUUUAGAAAAAUGCCAAUCCCAGAGCAUUCGCUAUACCUUGCACGAUUGGGCCAUCCUAAUUUUCUAGAGCAUUAUAUGACUUAGGAGCCAACAUUAAUUUGAUACUGCUGGAUGUAUUCAAGCAAUUGAGAUUGAACCCUAUGGAAUCAAAUUCAAUGCGGCUAUUGAUGGCUAACAGCACAGUUGAAACACCUAUUGCCAUCUUUUAUUAUGUGAUUAUGUGUGUAGACAAUUUCAUCUUCAUGGUGAACUUGGUCAUUCUGGACUGUGAGAUUGACAUUGAGAUGCCCAUUAUAUUGGGGAGACCAUUCAUGGCCACAGGUAGAGUGAUGAUUGAUAUGGAGAAAGGAGAGCUAAAAUUUAAAGUCAACGAUGUGGAGGAAACAUUUAACAUUCAAAAAUCAAUGAAGUAGCCUACCCACAUGAGGGUGGUGUCGGUAAUUGAUUAUACUGAUGACCCUAGAGGGUACUCUUAUGGGUAUCUUGAUGAACUUUUAGUAAUCAAGAUACCCACUUCGUGCCGUGACCUUAAAUUAAGUGCUAUAUGGGAGGCAACCCAUGGGCUUAUUGGUGAAGUCUGAGUUGCAAACACAGCCACAUCGUGUUAGGAUGUUAAAUCAACCAUUGAGCGGGAGGCAACCCACUAUUUUAGUGCUCACAUUUUUGUUAUUUUUUCCUUCGUAGGUUUUAGCUUAUGUAUUUGGCCAGAAUAUGGUAAGGUUGCUACAUUCAUUGAUUUCCAAGUAAGGGGAUUAUAUAAUCGACCCAUCAUGGUCACAAAUCCCACACAGACCAGGUAAGUUGAGCAAUAAAUUGAAGAGUCGACAUUUUAAGGAUGAUAAUGAAAAGUUGUAGACUUUGGCACCUAAUCAUACUUUUAGGACCCUAAACUUACGAGACCAUAAGUAGCUGGAAAAUUAUUAAAAAAUCCAAGUUCGAAUUGCAGGGAAGGGGGGCAAAAUUUAAGGCCCUGCACCUGCUGGCUAUAGGUAGAACUUGCGCCCCAUGCCUAGUCGCAGGUGGCAGGCGCAAGUGACUACUGCGGCUAGGUCAAUUUUGGGCCCAAAUUUUAAUUAAAAUUUUAGGCCCGCCAACACAUAUAUACAACCUAAAAUAUCCCCCCAUAUCCAUAUUUAAACAUCCUUAACCUCAUUCCAACUCAUUCAAAUCCUCAAAACUUCACUUUUCUCUCUGAAUUCAAACUUUCCUUUUAAAACAUAAACUAACCCCACACUUGAGUAAAGGCUAAAUUGACACUUGUUUGAGAUACCAACUUGUACCAAUACACUAAAAACAAGUUUCAACUUUAAUUUUGCUCGAGUUCUUCAUUAUUCACUUUCGGUUCAUCAUAAAAAAGGUAACUUUCUCGGCUUCUAAUGGUUAUAUAUUGAUUCAUUUAUUGUUUAAACAAGUUGAUAUGUGUAUUCUCAUGAAAAAUAUAUAAAUGCUAUCAUGCUUGUAUGUAGGAGUGUUGAAGUAACCUAAAAUAAUAAUGUAGGGUCUUGUUUUGAAUUGAAUUUUAAGGUUAGGCCCUAACCAAAAGUUGAACUUGAAGGAAUAGAGUAAUACCACAAGUUUAGCAUAUUGAGUUGCUUUGAAAAUCAUGAUUAUUGAUUUAUGUGUGUAUAUUGGAAUUGUGUAAUUUAUAAUAGGUUAUAGGGGUGUGAAAAUUGAGGAAAAAUCCAAAAUUUUAAAAUUUUGAGUUUUUCUUCAACUUUUGCUAUCCCUCAAUUUUGUAGGAAACUUAUGACUAUUUUUUCAGGUACAUAUGGCAAAUAAAACAUCUAGGAUGAAGAAGGUUGAUACCUCAAGAAGAUGGGUAGAGUCUUUCGAUUCUAGUGGUUCAGUGAAGGAUUAACCGAUGCAGUGACGUUGAGAUAGUGCAAUAGCAGUUAUGUGUAGAGUUACUAAAGGGCAGAUGCACCAGGCUGUGCAGGAAGUUGUAUCCCGGCCAUAUAUGAAGUCAUUAUGGAUAUCAUCCCCCCAUACUCCUCCACUAAAUGAUUAUGAGGAUGAGGAAGAGACAGAUUAUGAGUCUACUCCAUAGAUUAUAGCUUAGGACCCCAAUCUGGGGAGGGGUCCCAGGUUUCAUAUGAGAAUAAUGAGCAGGAGGAGUCAUCAGUGUUACCACAGUCUUAGGAGGGUACUAUCACAUAUGUACAAUAGUUAGAUAUAUCCCAGUUUGAGAAGGGUAUCGAGCAAGCUUCCCAGGAUACAUCAGUAUAGCAGGGGACGAGUUCUGCACCUAUAUAUGUCAUUGAGAUACCUCUGCGGUGGUGUGUAGAGGAUAUAUGGGUAGUUUAUGAUAUAGAAAGUCGUAUCUUAGAUACUGGUAGGCCUAAAAGACUUAUAUUUGAGGAACGUAGGAUUGAUCUAUCGGGACUGAGGAGAUUACUAUAGUUAUAGGCAUCCUUUGAUUGAUAUCAAUUAGAGUUGAUGGAUAGACUACUCAAUUCUUACAGCCCUACUAUAGUACAUGAGUUUUCUACAUCAUACAAAGAUAAAGUAGAGAUUUCCAUGUGCAGAUUGCCCAGACCAAUGGGCAUAUAGAGUAGCUACAACUUGAUCAUAUACUUUGAAAGGGGUUAGAGUUGAUAUUUCAAUAGAGAUUAUUUGCCGAGUCAUUUUUGGUCUAGAUUAUAUUACUCCCGCAUCUAUAGAUGAGUGUGACUACAAACUUAGACUCACAUGUGAUCAAUAUAUUAUGUGGGAAGCUGAGUAUAGAUGAGAGCGAGUUGAGAUAGCUAGGUAGAUAACCAAUUAUGUUUCACCUAUGGGUGAUGCUACCCCAUGGAUUGAGGGGUAUGGUGUGAUCAAGAAGGUUAUACUGACCUUUGAGGCCAAAUUUUUGUGGUUGCUGAUGAGAUACUGAUUGUUCCCCACUACUUUAGUUAAAUUGUUGGCAUAGGAGGGAGUAACCCUAGUUUUUUGUAUAAUGGCCAGUUAUGCUAUUGAUUUCAUAGAAAUCCUCUAACAUGAAAUCCAUGACAAAGCAUUUGGGGAGUUGAGUAAUCUAUUAUUUCCUUACAUGAUUUAGAGACUAUGCAAUGAAAUUAAUAAAACUGAGAGACCAGGUAUAGAUGAGAGGGUACGUGCUAUGGCUACUAUACAGACAAAUAUUAUGAAGGGUCUUGUAUAACCAUACCUUCUGAGGAGAUCUACAGAUCCAGCCAUAGUACCUAAGGCCUAGAAUAAGGGCCUAAAAGUUUCCAUAAAGCCUAAUGAUGCACAUGGAGGAAAUAUGGGUAUUGGUAUUGACAUGGAUAUAGGGAAGUAGAGAGAGGCUCUAAAUUCCAGUACACAAGAAAUGGGACACCAGCUACUUUUUCAUCAGCCCUGACUUUGACCUAGGCGUUGGUUGGUGUAUCUUUAGAGCCUACUCGCCCAUCCACUACAGCUCUUUCUCCAGGUAUGAUUAUUAUAUCUAGAGAGUUCUAGCAGAUCUUAGUGGAUUGCCUAAGGGCCGUUGAUGCUUGAUUAAGGGUUUUUGAGACCGAGAUGACUAUCUUCUAUGAAUAGAUAAAAUUAGAGGCUAGGACUAGAUACAAGCAAACUGAGGCCAUAUGGGAGGUCGCAUAAAAAGAUACACUAUAUAAGAUAUGAACUGACUUCCAAACAUAUCUAUAUGAGUUUGAGAGAUAGGUUAUAGACUGAUUCAUAGAUAUAGAUACCCCGGAUCUAGCCUAGAUGAGGGAGGAUUUUGAUAUAUUAUAAGAAGAGGUAUGCUAUGUCACAAAGAGCCGUGUAGUAGCCACGUUGCAAAAGAAAAUAAAAAGAAAAAAAUGAAAAAAAAUGUGAGAAAAAGUUAAAAAAGAAAGAGUAAAGGACCACACCCAACCUGAAUGUGCAGUAAAAUAAAAAGGGAGAAAUAAGGGUAGAAAUAAAGUGAAAAAUGGGCUAGUAAGUGAGACCCCAAGGUUAGUGUAGUGCUAAGGAGGCUUAGUCACUUGAUAUGUCCAUAUGUACUAUACCAUCCCCAAAACCUUAAUUUCAAGCCGAGAAAAGUCAUAUAGUGAUCCUAACUUGACUAUCUGAAUACUAAGGCAAAGAAUAUAUCGUCAAGCCUAUGGUACUUGAUGCACAUUGCUUGGACCUUCUCUUCUGAUUAUGAGUGUCUAUUUAUUGUCCCUGCUUUGACAUGCAUAAGUUCAUAUGAGUGAGUGAGACAUCUUUGUUAUGAGGGUACAUAAGUCAUAUUGCUAGCUAUUUGCUUGAUUCAGGUAGUGUAACUUGUACAUAUGUGUAGUUGUCUGUUGCUUAUGUAAUGCCAUACCUUGAUCCCAUUGUGUCAUGUUAUUGUGCUUCAUGUUCAUACACAGUUGGUUUUGAAAAUUUGAGAGCGGAUAGAGUGUUGUAUUUUGAACUUUAAAGUGUUGAUUGAUUGCCUUGGAUAGCUUAGAUUCUCCUAGUUAAGCAUUGUUUUUGUUUUGUUGUGUUUUAUUUCUUGAGAAAAUUUAAGCAUUCUAAGUUGAGGGUGUUGAUUUGUAUAGAAAUAUAGCAUUUUUUACGCUUAAAAUGAGGAAAAUAUGCAAGUUUCUGAGGUUUUUUUGUUAGAUAUGAUGCAUUUUGGGUGUGUUUUGUAGGAAAUCAUGUUUUGGAUGAUAAGUUCAUGAAAAAAGAUGAAAAAGGUGUUUAGGAUGCUCAUUGGAGCAAAUAUGGACGUUCGAGAUACUUUCUGGUUUGUUCGUGAUCAAAGCAUGUUCGGGUAUUGAAGAAGAGCUAAAAAGAUGACUCCCGACACUUUCUAGGUCAACAUAUAGACUGUAAGUCAAAUCAAGUGUCAGAAGUUCAAAAUCCUGACAGCUGACUUGCAGGAUUUUUUGUUCUGGCACUUGCGCCCACCAUGCAGGCCAUAAGUGCUACCUACGCCCAAGGUCUGGGUGCAAGUGGAGACCAUAAGUGGCCACUGAGCCUAUUUUCUCCCAUUUUAGGCUUUGAAUCAUAUACUUUGAAAGGGGUUAGAGUUGAUAUUUCAAUAGAGACUAUUUGCCGAGUCAUUUUUGGUCUAGAUUAUAUUACUCCCGCAUCUAUAGAUGAGUGUGACUACAAACUUAGACUCACAUGUGAUCAAUAUAUUAUGUGGGAAGCUGAGUAUAGAUGAGAGCGAGUUGAGAUAGCUAGGUAGAUAACCAAUUAUGUUUCACCUAUGGGUGAUGCUACCCCAUGGAUUGAGGGGUAUGGUGUGAUCAAGAAGGUUAUACUGACCUUUGAGGCCAAAUUUUUGUGGUUGCUGAUGAGAUACUGAUUGUUCCCCACUACUUUAGUUAAAUUGUUGGCAUAGGAGGGAGUAACCCUAGUUUUUUGUAUAAUGGCCAGUUAUGCUAUUGAUUUCAUAGAAAUCCUCUAACAUGAAAUCCAUGACAAAGCAUUUGGGGAGUUGAGUAAUCUAUUAUUUCCUUACAUGAUUUAGAGACUAUGCAAUGAAAUUAAUAAAACUGAGAGACCAGGUAUAGAUGAGAGGGUACGUGCUAUGGCUACUAUACAGACAAAUAUUAUGAAGGGUCUUGUAUAACCAUACCUUCUGAGGAGAUCUACAGAUCCAGCCAUAGUACCUAAGGCCUAGAAUAAGGGCCUAAAAGUUUCCAUAAAGCCUAAUGAUGCACAUGGAGGAAAUAUGGGUAUUGGUAUUGACAUGGAUAUAGGGAAGUAGAGAGAGGCUCUAAAUUCCAGUACACAAGAAAUGGGACACCAGCUACUUUUUCAUCAGCCCUGACUUUGACCUAGGCGUUGGUUGGUGUAUCUUUAGAGCCUACUCGCCCAUCCACUACAGCUCUUUCUCCAGGUAUGAUUAUUAUAUCUAGAGAGUUCUAGCAGAUCUUAGUGGAUUGCCUAAGGGCCGUUGAUGCUUGAUUAAGGGUUUUUGAGACCGAGAUGACUAUCUUCUAUGAAUAGAUAAAAUUAGAGGCUAGGACUAGAUACAAGCAAACUGAGGCCAUAUGGGAGGUCGCAUAAAAAGAUACACUAUAUAAGAUAUGAACUGACUUCCAAACAUAUCUAUAUGAGUUUGAGAGAUAGGUUAUAGACUGAUUCAUAGAUAUAGAUACCCCGGAUCUAGCCUAGAUGAGGGAGGAUUUUGAUAUAUUAUAAGAAGAGGUAUGCUAUGUCACAAAGAGCCGUGUAGUAGCCACGUUGCAAAAGAAAAUAAAAAGAAAAAAAUGAAAAAAAAUGUGAGAAAAAGUUAAAAAAGAAAGAGUAAAGGACCACACCCAACCUGAAUGUGCAGUAAAAUAAAAAGGGAGAAAUAAGGGUAGAAAUAAAGUGAAAAAUGGGCUAGUAAGUGAGACCCCAAGGUUAGUGUAGUGCUAAGGAGGCUUAGUCACUUGAUAUGUCCAUAUGUACUAUACCAUCCCCAAAACCUUAAUUUCAAGCCGAGAAAAGUCAUAUAGUGAUCCUAACUUGACUAUCUGAAUACUAAGGCAAAGAAUAUAUCGUCAAGCCUAUGGUACUUGAUGCACAUUGCUUGGACCUUCUCUUCUGAUUAUGAGUGUCUAUUUAUUGUCCCUGCUUUGACAUGCAUAAGUUCAUAUGAGUGAGUGAGACAUCUUUGUUAUGAGGGUACAUAAGUCAUAUUGCUAGCUAUUUGCUUGAUUCAGGUAGUGUAACUUGUACAUAUGUGUAGUUGUCUGUUGCUUAUGUAAUGCCAUACCUUGAUCCCAUUGUGUCAUGUUAUUGUGCUUCAUGUUCAUACACAGUUGGUUUUGAAAAUUUGAGAGCGGAUAGAGUGUUGUAUUUUGAACUUUAAAGUGUUGAUUGAUUGCCUUGGAUAGCUUAGAUUCUCCUAGUUAAGCAUUGUUUUUGUUUUGUUGUGUUUUAUUUCUUGAGAAAAUUUAAGCAUUCUAAGUUGAGGGUGUUGAUUUGUAUAGAAAUAUAGCAUUUUUUACGCUUAAAAUGAGGAAAAUAUGCAAGUUUCUGAGGUUUUUUUGUUAGAUAUGAUGCAUUUUGGGUGUGUUUUGUAGGAAAUCAUGUUUUGGAUGAUAAGUUCAUGAAAAAAGAUGAAAAAGGUGUUUAGGAUGCUCAUUGGAGCAAAUAUGGACGUUCGAGAUACUUUCUGGUUUGUUCGUGAUCAAAGCAUGUUCGGGUAUUGAAGAAGAGCUAAAAAGAUGACUCCCGACACUUUCUAGGUCAACAUAUAGACUGUAAGUCAAAUCAAGUGUCAGAAGUUCAAAAUCCUGACAGCUGACUUGCAGGAUUUUUUGUUCUGGCACUUGCGCCCACCAUGCAGGCCAUAAGUGCUACCUACGCCCAAGGUCUGGGUGCAAGUGGAGACCAUAAGUGGCCACUGAGCCUAUUUUCUCCCAUUUUAGGCUUUGAUUUUAGGGUUUUCUCAUGUACUAUAAAUACAAUUUAUGUGUUUUUUAGUAGGAGUUACGCACUUUUGAUAUUCAUAAAUAUAUUUUGAUUUCAAAAUUAGAUUUUGAUCUUAGGAUUCUCUUGUAUUAGCUCCAAUUGAUUAAUUCAGUUGCGAUUGUGGGUUUUGCUUAUUAUUUUGAUUUCAUCUAUGCUUUCAAUCAUGAAUGUUGUUGAUUACUUCGUAAGCAUGAGCAGCUAAAAACCUAUAACUAGGGUUGUGGAAACCCUAACGGAUUGACAAAGUUGAGGAAGUGCUAUUGUUGUUUUGAACUGAUGACCAUGCAUGUAUUGUUUUAUCUUCAAUAUAAUAGUUUUCUUAAUGGGUGCACACAUUAGGAUCCCACCUAGAUUAUUGCUACUUACUCCAAAAGAGGAGUAGCAACAAGGAAAAGAUAAAGACAAUUGUAAUUUGGAAUUUAGUUAUUGAUCCACGCUUCUAGGUUUUAUCUAUGUAAAAUGGUUAGAUCUCAUAUAAUAAGUAGAGAGGAAGAAGGUUAUAGUUAACUGGGAUCAAGAUAAGGGUUAGUAAAGUGACACCCUAAGACUCAAAAGGAAAAAGGUGAAAUCCUUCGACCUGUCCAAAAGACUGAAGAAGGUAAGUAACUUAUUGAUUUUGUAUUUAAGGUAUUGGGUUGGUUUAACAUAGCACGAGAAACCAACAGAGUUGAGAAGCCAGGGGGAACAGAAUCCUAGUGUUAUUUCUAUUCAAAACUACCCAUUACUUUUCCAGUUUAGCCUGUUGACUACAACAACUGAGAACCGUGAGUCCAUGUAUUCCCUUGGGAUUCAACCCCAACCUUUUUUGGGUUACUAUAUUUGACAGCGACCGUAUCAUCUUCUGAGAGGAGGUGUAGCUUGGACACCAUCAUGCAGCUCUUGCAUAGCAGUGGGUAAUUUCUCAGGCUAUUACAUAAAGAUCCACAAGUCUAUUUACAGAAAUUUUUAGAGAUCAGUGAGACAUAUUCAUCCCUACGGUUGUGCCAAAUAACUGUGUGAGGCUGAUACUUUUCCCCUUUUCACUAUUAGGGGAAACGAAGAAGUGGUUGAAUGCUGAACUGGCAGAUUUAAUCACAGCUUGGUAUGACUUAGCCUGGAAGUUCAUCAUUCACUUCUUUGGGCAAGACUGCAAGACUUCGCAGUGAGAUUUUGAGUUUUAAACAAAGGCCAGAUGAGAACCUUUAUCAUGCUUGGUAAAGAUUCAAAUUUCUUCUUCGAGAAUAUCCAUAGCAUCAACAAUCCAAUAAAGUAUUAUAUCACACCUCUUUUGAAGCCCUUGACCACAACAUGAUAAUUCUACUAGAUUCAGCUUUAGUUGGUCAAGCUCUGGAAAAGACUUAUGAUGAGUUGUAUACCUUGUUGAACCAAAUCGCACAAGGAAUUCAGAUUUGCAUGGUGAUGCUUCAAGAAGAUGAAUUCAAAAGGUUUUAGGCAUUAUUGAAGUUGACAGCAUUACAACCUUUGCCGCCCAACUAUUAUCUCUGUAAAAUCAAAUAAUGACAUAAUUUAGUAAGUUGGGUGUGCAACAGUCUCAGACUCAGGUGAAUACAGUGCAACAGACUCUGACAUAGUCUGAGGUUUAUGUCAAUAGUGGCCACUCUGCAGAUAUGUAUGGUGCAAAUCUUGAGUCAAUUAAUUUUGUGGCGUAAUGCUCAAAGGCCAAAUCAUGGUAAUGCCUACAAUCAAAAGUGGUAGACUCAGGCACCAAAUUUCUCAUGGAACAACAAUCAGCCACAAUAGUUUUAGUAGUAGUAGAAAAAUACAUAGGACAGUAACACAGAGGACAUAUUAAAUAAGUAACAUAGACACCUAAAAAUAGAUGGCUACUGAACUAAAAAAUUAGCACGUACUUCAGAAGCAGUUGGAGUAUCAGUUGGGGAAAAUACAGCAAGAGCAAAAUACCACGCCUCAAGGUGGUUUGCCAAGUGACACUGAACCUCUUAAAUAAUUAAUGGCAAUUACUUUGAGAUAUGGUAAAGAGUUAAUUGAUAGACCCCCAAAGACAAAUAAGAGGAAGAUUCAGAGUUGAUUCCUCAACCGACUGCAAACCAAGUUAUUGAUUAUUCAGGAAGUUUGAGUACUCAAAAAAAAAUUGUUGAACAGGUUAAGGUGUAUCCACCACUUCUAUUUUAACAUAGGCUAAGAAAAGCAGAGGAGGAUGCAUGUUUCAAGAAGUUCUUUGACACAUUCAGAGAGCUUUACAUUAACCUUCCUCUUUUCGAUGUUUUGUAGGAAAUGCCUAAGUAUGCUAAGUACUUGAAGGAAAUGGUUAUAAUAAAGUUAAGCUAUAGGAUGUUGAGACAGUAGCACUCACUGAGGAGGGCAACUUUGUAGUGAUGCAGAAAAUGCCCAAAAAGCUUAAGGACCCUAGAAAGUUCACUCUCCUCAUUCAAAUUGGUAACAGUGAGCUGGUUUAUGCACUUAGUGAUUUGGGGGUAGGUAUCAAUUUGAUGCCCCUAUCAAUAUUCAAUACUUAGCUCUUGGGGAAGCCAAGAUCGUACUCUAUGCUACUUUAAAUGGCAGACCAGACUAAAGUUCAUCCUGAAGGAAUCAUCUAAGAUGUUCUCAUCAAAGUUGGUAAGUUUAUUAUCCCUCUUAAUUUAAUUAUUUUAGAUUAUAGGGUAGAUUACAAGGUGUCAAUUAUCUUGGGACGUCCAUUCUUAGAGAUGGGAGGGGCAAUGAUAGAUAUGAGAGAGGGCACACUCAAAAUGAGAUUGAUUGAUGAAGAGGUGGUCUUCAUGAUUUACAAACCACUCAACACACUGCAUUACAAGAUUUAUGCAUGAUUAUAGAGAUGGAAGUGGAUGAGCGUGGGGAGGUGGAUCCUAAUCUACCAAAGACCUCUUUAAACACCUUCAUUAAGCUACCUAAGUCACCAAUACCUAAGCCCGAAGGUAUGCUGAUUGGUGAGCCUUAAAAGGCUAUUAUUAAAAACGUUGUUGAACUUGAGUGUUCAUACUCAAAUGGUCAGAAAUGAAUAAGAAAAUAGACUCUAAGUAUGAGGAAGAUGAUGAAUAAAAAUAGUUAAGUGUGAUAUUGCGUUGUGCUGCGACACUAAAUUAGGCACUGCUUGGAAUGCAACCAAAGUAAAGGUAGGUUUUAUUUUCAGUAUUUUUACUUUUUACUUCACAUAUUUUUUGUAGUUUUUGAGUCACAAGUUGAUGGGAAGUCUGAGUACCAUAAAACUGAGCUAAGGAACAUGGCGAAGACUGAGUGUGGGGUCCUCAAACCCUCUUGAUGUAUAAAGAUGCUACUAGAUAGGCCUAGAGGCCUCAGGGAGUAUUUCUAUCUGUACUUUUAGUAUAUUUUGCGGACAAAGUAGAUUUUUAAGUGUGGGGUAAGGAAAUUCCCAUGGUAUCUUUUUUUCUUUCUUUAGGACUAAUUUAAAAGAAAAUUAUUUUAGGUAAGUGAGAUAUUCUUGUUGGUGCUAUGUAUGAUUACCAGAUGGAAGUGUUUUGGUUGUAAAAUCAUGUUGACUAUGUGAAUUACUACUCUUGAGACUCCUAGGCUUAUGAUUCUAAUUCUUAUACAUUGUUGGCUUAAUGUUGAAUUCAUGCUAUUAUUUGGUUGAGAGUUUAUGAUGAUCCUACUUGAGUUGAGCAUGUGCCAUGUGUGAUGUGAGAUUGUUAUGUAUUCCUUGUUGCAUUUGAUGCUAGAACUUGCCCAGUGUGUGUGCAAAAUGAAAUAAAAAGUGUGGGUUUAGUAGAUGAUAUAGGCAUUUCUUUGAUAGCCAUAUUUCAUACCCUCUUUUACCUACCAUUGUGCAUAAUCUUAGUUAGCCCCAUUGAGCCUUUAGCUUGUUUUCUUUUGUAGACUCAUAUGCAGUCUGUAUCCUUUUUUUUAUUGAACUUAAUUUAAUUCAAAGCUCUUAUGCAUUUUAGUGUUGAAUUUAUUGAGUUAAGAAGUUUGAAAUUCAAGUAGGGGAAAGGUGAAAUUGAAGCCUUAAAGUAAUAGUUAUUGGUGUGUACAAUUGAUGUGUUAUGGUUAGGAGUGAUAGAAAUUUGUGCUAAAAUUGAAUCAUGAAUUAAUAGACAAUACUCACUUCCAUAUUGUAUGUGAGUGAGCUUAAUGUGAUGGGAAAAACCAAAAGAAUUAUGUGGAGGUAGAUGAGGUGAAAAAUUAGUUUUUAGAGGUGAAUCGAAUGAAAAGUGUGAUGUAUCAAAGCACUUAGGGAAGAUAGUCACUAUUACUAGCUAGAAUAGUUCCUACCCAUCCCUUAGCCUACAUUACAACCCUUAAAGACCUAUUUAUCCUAAUUCUUAAUAUUCUGAUAUUAGUGGAGUACUACACUAAGGUCAAGCCUAUGGUUUAUCUUGUGUAACUUGUGAAUUUUUUGUGAGAAUGAGCGAAAUCUAAUUCUUGUACAUAAUUUGUAAUAAAUUAUACUGGUCGUGGGUAACUCUUUUAUUGUGAAGGAACAUGUUUGAUGAGAGUUGGGUGAUUUGUAUAAUCUCUUUGAUUGAAUAAUAUGCAUGAAUUUUCCAACUUUGUGAGUCAAUUCUUGAGUCUAGGAUGUUUUUGGAUUAGUAUUCUUGAGCUUUCAAUUGUGUGUAUAACACGCUUAGUGUAAAAACUUGCAUUCUAUGUAGUCAUUGUAGUACUAGCUUGAGUGUAUUGCUUGUAGUAGAAGUGUGGAGUCUCCUUUGGUUAUGAUGCUUAGAUUAAAGAGUUGUUCAAGGAUGAACAAGGCUUUAAGUGUCGAGUGGUGAUCUGAGGUUUAUUUAUGCACCUCAGUGUUGUUAUUCGGGCUUAUUUAGCUUUGUUUUUUAGGACUUCAUGUGUACUUAGUGAGUUAAGAAUGGAAUAAAUGAGCAUCUAAAUGUUAAAUUACUUUAUUACAAUGUUUACGAUUUUUUUCAAACAAGUUUGUAAUUAAAUUGGUCAUUUAGGGUUUAGACGAGACAACUAGUGUUAGGUUCUAGUUGAUUUCGAUGGAUUUUAGUGUGCGUAAUGAGUUUCUAAUGAUAUUAUUGUUUAAUUAUAUGUGGAAUAACUUAUUUAUAGAAUUUAAGUUUCAUGGAAUAACUUGUUUAUAGUGUUUAAGGUUCAAUUGAAACAAGCCAAGAGUGAAAGCCAAGUUAUAGAUCAAAACGGGCAAAAUUAGUAUUCUUAGCUUAAGUUUCUAGUUCACCAUCUUGGAUGUUGUGUUGUUUUGAGCUCUAAUUAGUGGUGUUUGAUGCUAUAUGAUUCUAAUUUAAUUGACUAUUAUGAUAUAUGGAUGUUACAUAAUCUGUUAAUCAAGUAAUCUGUUAAUCAAGUGAAAACAACACCAAAAGUCUUGGAAUGGAUGGACAAAAGCACGGGACAAGAUUUGACAUAAAUCGGACCUCUCGGAGUCCAUAGAACAUCAGGGAUAUUAUCCAGAUAUAUGGGGCAUGUGACAUGCCUUGGAAGCUUAAUAAUGGACCAAAAAUAGUGUAUAUCUAAGAUUAGGGUACAUCUCACACCCUAGGUACUGCAAUAGAGGGCGUGAUGUGGACUCUAGCUCAAAAUUGGUAGAUUUGACCUCCUAUAAAUAGGACACUUAAACAUAAUGCUAAACACCUUAGAAGAUCUUGAAACUUAGAGGGAGUAUGUAAAACCCUUCAAAUAGGUUUUUAUUUCUUUAGCUUAAUUUUUUUUAUGGAUUUUAUCAUGUAUUCAUCUAUCGUAAUUACGGUUAUGUCCAUGAGUAGCUAAAAGCCCCCCUUUUCCAGGGUUAAGGUCUAGAACAUGACUACUAUUUCUAUGAAUUGAUUUGGUUUUGAUUAUUUACAAUAUUUGGUUGUUUAUUUAUCCUUUUUGUCACUAUUUCAAGGAUUCAUGAAACUUAUGAGCUCAGAAGGAGGAACAAAAGGAUAGAAUGUGGGGUAAAUAGAAUAGGAUUGUAAUCUUCUACAGAAUAAAGUUAUAAUUUGCGCUUAGGAUAGUAAUAUACCUAUGUGACCUAUUUAGUUCACUGAUGGGAUGAAAUAUAAAUGCGUUUAACUUAGUUUUCACAUCCCCGCUCAACGGUGUAGUUGUGGAUCUAAGUUUGAUAGGUGAUUAGAGGCUUGAAAGAUCAUGACCAUAAUAUCAACCCCGUGAAUCAACAAUCAAGAUAAGUAACAUAACCAAUGAUGUUUAAUAGCAUAGUAUAAUUUUUUGUAGAGACUUAACCUUGGAUUUCUCUCCAUUGAUUAUCCAAGAACUUUACUUUCCGCACUGUUAACUUUAGUUAUAACUCUCUACUUUGUGGUUAUGUUUGCACUUGAUUAAUCUAAAUAGCAAACUAGAAUUGGAUAGUUUCUUAACACUAGUCCCUAUGAGAUAGAUACUUGGCCUUUAUAAGGCCACUUUACUACUUAGUGAGACCAUGUACACUUGCGUGUGUGCUCGAGCACAAUAGAAUAGAUAGUGGCAUAAAAAAAGAUGGAGCAAGUAUCUAUUAUUUGAAAAGGAAUGAGGAACAAAAACUAGAUACCUUCCUAAUUUAAUUUGUAAAUUAGGUUGGGUUAGGUUAUUAAUUUAUAAACGUUGGGCAAAUAAUUUACUAGUGAUGACUGCCUAUAGUGACUCAUUGUUAAUGACAACUCAUCAUCACCCUCUAUUAUGAAAUAAGGACUUAGAAAAGUCAUUUGAGGUAACCAGUCCCCAUGACCCAAGGCGACAAGUCUCUGUGUGUGGCAAUGACUCAUUGUGAGAGUUGUUGGGGUGACCAGUGACUUCUUUCUUACUCAUCCCUUAUCAACGAGUCACAUAAUGUGUCAUCAUGUGUUCAUACAAAUUGUUGGUGACUCGUUUGGACUGGGAACCUAAAUUUUUUUGUUGUGUUUUCAGUGAUGCUGUCCUACAUACUUUAACACAAAAUACCUUAUAAAAUUAAAGAGUGCAAAAUCAUGGGUUGCCUUCCAAGAAGAGCUUGAUUUAACAUCACAACAUGAUGUUGCAAAUUUGGUCACUUAGACUUCACCAACUAGCUCAUAUGUUGCCUCCAUUAAAGCAUCUCAUUUAAAGUCGCAACAUGACCCAACUCUUUUGACUACUCAGACUUCAUCAAGGUUCGAUUUUUCACAUGAUCUUAUCUCCUCUGUAGUUCUCACAUAGUGUUUCACCCAUUGAUUUUGACCUUGAAUGGUACACCUUCAUUUCCUUUUAGCUUAAUUGCAAUAUGCAGAAACACUCAUAUCAUAGUGAAUAGUCCAGAAUAUUUGGACCUUAGCUUGACAUGAAAUAAGAAACGUCUCGAAUUGUAUAGCAAGGCCAAGUACUAUUCUAGGUGAAAUUAUCUGUCUUCGAUCAGUAGUUAUGAUACAACUUCAGUUUUUUCUUGUAUAAAGCUGAGCUCUCAUAAGCAUUGAUACGAAAUUCAUCCAUCUAAUUAAUUUGUUCUAAUCUUACUUUUGCCAUAUUACUCCAUUCCAGAUUCAUUUUUUCUAAUGCCCACAGUACCUCAUGUUUAUGUUAUAGCAAAUGGCAAGCUUUGACAUACAUAAGUUGAUAUAAUGAAGAACCUAUAAGAGUCUUGAAUAUUUUCUGGUAGUCCCACAAUACAUCAUCCAACCUUUCAGCUCAGUUUGACCUAUUCACAAUAAUAGUCUCUAUUAAGAUAGACUUUAUCUCUCAAUUUGAGACCUCAACUUAUCCAGUCUUCUGAGGAUGAUAAUGAGUUGGCACCUUGUGUUUGACAACAUAUUCAUCAAGCAAGGUUUAAAGAGAUGAUUGUAAAAGUGCGAGUUUUCAUCGUUAAUGAUAGCUUGGGGGUAACUAAAUUUAGAGAAGAUAUUUUUCUUCAAACAGGUCGUGACACUCCUUCCUUUAUUGCUCGAAAGAGCAAUUUCUUCCACCCACUUAGACACAUAGUCCACAGUUAUCAAGAUGUACUUUAUUCCAUGAGAGCUAAUAAAUGGGCCCACAAAAUCAAUACCCAAAACAUCAAAUAACUCGAGCUUAAGGGUAGGCGUCAUUGGAAGUUCAUAUUUUCACAAGAUGUUACCUUGCCUUUGAUAUUGGUCACAAGCCUUAUCAUAAUCAUGCAUAUUAUUGUAGAUGGUGGGCCAAUACUAACUAUAUUGCAAGAUCUUGUGUGCAAUCCACGCAGCUCCAUGAUGACCUCCAACUAGUGACGAGUGACAUACCUCUAAGAUAAUUAUCAUCUCAAACUUAGAAGCACAUCUCUGAAUCACACCAUCUGCACAAACCCAAAACAAGUAUGAAUCAUCCCAAAAUAACUUCCUUACCUCAUGCAUGAACCAUUUUUGCUGUUGAAAUGACAUAUCUUCUAAAACUAGAUCACUUGCCAAAUAGUUGGAAAAAUCUGCAAACUAAGACACUAAGUCUUAUAAUGCUACCAAGACCCGCUCAUAUGGAAGAAUAUCAUCAAUUUCAAGCUCACCCCUUAGUUUUGGCACUGCCUCCUCCUCGGGGCAUGAUAAAUGGCCAACCACUUGAUUCUAAAUUUCAUUUUGAUCCUUGAACUCAAAGUCGAAUUUCGACAAUAAAUGUAUUCUUCUGAUCAACCUCAGUUUCACAUUUUUCAUCUCCAUAAUGUAUCUAAGAGCUGCAUGGUUAGUACACACGGUCACAUUUUUGCCAAGAAAGUAAGGACAAAAUAUCUUAAAUGCAAACACAAUAGCAAGCAACUCUUGUUCAACCACAGUAUAAUUCUUUCAAGCAGGGUUAAGUUCUUUGCUAGCAAGGUAGAUGAGAUGUAUGAUCAUCUUCUCUCACCUUUAGCCUAGAACUGAUCCUAGGCCACACCAGUAGCAUCGCACAUAACCACAAAUGAUAAGGUCCAAUCCGAAGACACAAUGAUAGGGGAGGCUGAAAUCAACUUCUCUUUCAGACACUUGAAUGCCUUUAGGCACGCCUCAUCGAAUAAAAAUUUCACAUCCUUCUCUAACAACGUGAACAACGGAUUCACAAUUUUAGAUAAGUACUUGAUGAAUCAUAUAUAAAAACCUUCAUGUCCAAAAAAAACUAUGAAUACCCUUCGUAGACAUUGUUGGAAGCAAUUUCUCAGUUACCUUAAUUUUGUGUUGUCGACCUCAAUUUCCUUCUUGGAAAUCUUAUGGCAGCCAAGCACUAUUCCUUCUCUAACAAUGAAGUGGCACUAAUCCUAAUUCACAACCAAGUAGCAUUCCUCACAUCUCCAAAGAACAUUGGAAAGGUGUGCCAAACAAUUAUCAAAUGAGUCAGCCACAUGUGAAAAGUCAUCCAUGAAAACCUUAAUAGUAUCAAAAUCCCCAUUUUGAAGUAUUCACGGUUAAAAAAUUGAUCUCAGUCCAAAUCUCCUAGUAAAUGGCUUUAGAUGGAAUUCCAAUAGUGUCAUCAACUCUAGAAUAUUGAUUUUAGGCUAAGGGAACCCUUGAUUCAGGUCCUAAGGCUUUUGGACUCAAUUUGAGCUAUUAGAUAGAAAUUAAUUUAAUAAAAUUAGGUGUGGAACCCAUAUUUAAUUGAUGUGGGACCUAUAUUUAAUCGAAAUAAUCUCUGAUGAAAGUUUUAAUAUUUUUUUGAGUCUAGAAUGUUGAAUUUUAUAUGGUAGCAUAGUUCAUUUGCGUGCAUGUGAUUCUGAACGAAUCUCGAACCCCCCAUCGAAGUCCAUUUAGACUUAAGAAAUUAUUGAUAUGUAAUAGCUAGUGCAGGGGUAAUUUAGGGUUCACUGUGAGGGGUAAGCUGCAUUCGCAAAGGGUCAAGACCUUGACCAUUGUAUUCAUGGGCCUUCUCUCGUAUUCGCGAUGAAGGGUUGAACAACCCAACACUUCUCCUUCAUCGUAUUCGCGACUAUCAGUGUCAUGUUUAAGAUAGCCAAGCUUGCUUGGCUUCGCAUUCCCUUGCCUAUGUUCACAAGGAAAAUUCCCGUGACCUUCACCUUCGCGAAACUUUGGCCUCACAUUCGCGAAGGGUAUUUCCGUGGCAGUAUAUAAACUUCUCUUCCUCAAUUUUCAUUAUUAUUUCUCACCCAUUUUCGCCAUUUUAAUCCUAGGAACUCAAGAAAGUACAAAAAAUAAUCCUAUUUAUCCUAACUAGCUUAAACUAUGCUUCAUCCAACAUCUCAGAUUCUGUCCUCAAACUUCCACCGAAUACAAGAUACCACGGGGCAUUCCCCAGUAAAUGUGCAGGUUUGAUAAAAAAAGGAUAAAAAUAGCAAAUAUUUAAACCAGUAAUUCAACCAUGCAACAACUAUGAAAUCUUAAAAUUUGCCUACCCAUAUCAAUGUUGUGAACAUGAUACUAUUAAUAAAAAAUAAUCCAAAUUAAUAGCAACAUUAGAUUAAAACAAAUCAAUUUAUGAUUGAGUUUAUUAAUUAUUUAAUUCCUCUCCAAAUAAUUAAAUUCUACCCCAAAUACAAGUCAACAUGAUAGGAAGAAAAAUAGUUCAUUCAACAUCUACAAAUAUCAGCUAUCUUGGCAUUUAACCACUAGGAAAACUGUGAGAGUCAUUAUCAAGAGCUUGAAAAGGUUAACAGAGUUAAGUAGAUUUAGUGUCUGUUUGGGAUUGCUAGUUUAAAAAAAAUAUUUUUUUUUUAAAAGAAGAAUGUUUGGUAAUCUUGUAAAAGUGUUCUUUUUAGAAAUAGUUUUUCUGUUUCUAAAAAGAAGCAAAAAUUUUUUGUUUUUCAAAAAAGUAGAAGCAAAAGCAGAAAAUUAUUCUUUUCAUGACAAAAAUAUCUCUACUACUCUCUAACACACACAUAUAGUGAUUUAAUUUAUGGAAUAAAUUUUAUAUUAAUUUUUGUUUGAUAUUUUUAAUUAAUAGUUAAAUUAUUUAAGUAAUUUAUCAUUAUUUAAUAUUUUUAAUAUAUUUAUGCAUAUAAAUAUAGAUUGAAAAUUUUAGAGUAGGUAUUUUUUAAUUAAAUAAAAAUAAUAUUUUAAUUAAAAUCUAUAAUACAUAUUUAAAAUAAAUUUUCUCUAUAAAUAGAUUUUAGUAAUAAAAGUCUACUAUACAUGACCUUUUUAGUUAUUUACAUAAAAAACACUUUUUAAAAAAAAUUAUUCAAACAUAAUCUGUUUAUCAAAACAUUUUUCAAAUAAAUUUAUCAAAUACAAAAACUAUUUUAUAAAAGUAUUUGUCAAAUAAAUAGUGUUGUAACAACAAUUUCAAACAAGCUCUUACAGAGAUUAUACCUCAAAUUGGCUUUUAUUAACUUCCAUGUACGGAGAUCCAACAACGAUGAAACAGAGUUUAUGAGGUAUAGUAACCCAAAAUUUGGAACCUCAAUUGAAACUCGAACAACAGCCUCAAAUCCUAUCCAUCAAUGAUAACCACAUCUACGAACACGUUAACUCGAUCAAAACCAAUAGUUCAGAACAAACGGGAUUGGGGGGAGGGGAGGGGGUUGCUUAUUUAUAUUGGCGAAGAAAGAGGCGGGAUCGAGUUGAGAAGAGGGGAGUUGACCAUGAUGAUGGUGGAGAUGAAAAUCGAUAGUGGAGUGUGUGUGUUAAUUUUGUUAAUGGAGAAUGAAUAUUGUGCUAUGGAGAAUGGAGGGAGGAUGAAGAUGAUGUUCAUGGUGAAGUUGUGUGUGUCUGAAUUUCUUGAUUGGUGCCUGAAAAUGGAAGGAUUCACAGUAUACGGGUAAGUGUUUCCAAUGGGUUGAUGUUGGUUGUUACAAUUAAUGCGAACGAAAAUUGAAAAACAUGGAGGAGUUUCCAUUGUUGAUGUUGCUGGAAAAAUAUGGAGAGCGUUGAUGAUAAUAAUUUUAAAUGGUGGAAAUUAUGGAAGAAGAGUGGAGGUCUGUUUACUGGAAAUUUGGAUUAGGGGAGGAGUAUGUAUUGGAUUCUUGUGCAGGUGUCUUCAAUCCGUGUAAAGAUGGGUGUGUGUAUAUGUAUUCUGUUGGUGUGAGAGAGGAAAGAAAAAUGUGAGCUUCUUGUUAUUUUGUUUUUUAGGGGACGGGUUGUUAGGCAAGGUAAAU